GAACCGAUAAGAUCUAUACUUUUUCAACGCAAAUUUUAUUUUAUAAAAAUGGAGAUCCUUUCGUUAGCCAACAUUCGAAUAAAUCUAAAAAGGAAUGCGCCCUUCAUCUACUUGCUAGUUGUGGCGCCACUUAUUUUACUUUUGCCAUGGAUACUACUAAAGAAACCAGAUGAUUUAGCGCAUUGUGAGGAAGAAACAAGAUUCUGGCACUUGGGAAAGCAUGCGUAUAACUUUAUAUUCAAGAACAAUACGCCCAAAAAGGAGCCGAAAGCCAACUUUCCGAAGAUAAUAUGGAACUUCAUGAAGAAAGUUUGCAAAGCUUAGUUCCUAACGAUUCAUCAACACCCAUCGACAUCAUGCAGAGCAUCUCCAACUACGUGCCUCUUGCCGGACUCAAAUUGGGACAACAAAUUAAUCUGUUCGUCCAUAAGUCAAUUUUAACAUUGAUAUUUAAUAAAUGAUGCAUGCAAUUCA
ensembl:ncRNA lncRNA:CR44455 long non-coding RNA:CR44455